UACAGAGGGUGCGAACGUUGCUCGGAAUUACUGGGCGUAAAGCGCAUGUAGGCGGAUCCAUAAGUCGGGCGUGAAAUCCCCAGGCUCAACCUGGGAACUGCGCUCGAAACUGUGGGUCUUGAGUGUCGGGAGAGGAUGGCGGAAUUCCUGGUGUAGAGGUGAAAUUCGUAGGAUAUCAGGAGGAACACCGGUGGCGAAGGCGGCCAUCUGGACGACGAACUGACGCAUGA
rnacentral:rRNA from 1 species